AAGCUGCAGCAUCUCCUGACCAGUUACCAGCGUAUUUCCUUGGCUGCAGUUUCCCGUUUGCCCCACGUUGCUGCCAAGCUGCUGAACUCUGACUUACCAAAGCCCACACAUCCAGAGAGCUGUCACUCUGUUCUCCAGCCUCUUCUCCACUCCUGCAGCUUGCAAAGGGUUUAGAGGGAGAUAUUUUUCAACUGGGGCCUCAGUGAUAACAAACACAGGAUGUGUUUUAAUGUGCAUGGUUUGCACAUUAAUACCCAAAUGCAAAUACUUCCCAUCAAGACACCCAUUAGGCAACAUCAUAAUCUCACCAGCCACUAGAACUUCCACCUUCACUUCUCCAUACUGUACUAAGUACCUCUGUCACCUCUGCCCCAGGGCGUGAUAAUUUAUCUGUGCUGCUCCACUUUCCCAACAAACUUUUUUACUGACAGCAGAGUACUUUCCCUUUCCACCCCUCUUCUUUUCCUUCCCUGCCUCUUCAAAAUGCUCCUACCCUACUUAAGGUAUUUUUUUCUUUCCAAACUAAAGAAAACCAAAUUAUAAACCUGACGUAAAAAAAUCACGGUCUGAUCACAAAAGAUAGAUAAAUGGACAGAAAAUAGGAAGUCAAAGUCAUUUUCCCAAGCAUAGGAAUGAAGCCAGGAAAAGAAAGCAGGUCUCCUGGGAGCACAUCAGACUGCAGCCACCUGGGCUGAGCUGGCUGCAGGAGCACCCCGUGUUCCUGGCCUGACCCUGAAGCAGGGAGCAGCAGCUGCAGCCGCUGUUUUAUUCCAGCAGCACUGUGCAGUCGCCAAGGGGCACCGUGAGCGCUGAGACCUCACUGGCAGCUGGUCAGCACGGGGCUCUGGCUUCCAGCGUGGAGGAUGGAGGAGAUGUUAGGGCUUGGAGAGAAGAUUCACAGAAAAGUAUUAUUAGAAGGCUCACUUAGUACAGGAAGUGAUGGUGCUCAAUGGUUGUGGUCAUUGCUUUUGAUAACAGCCUCUAUUUGUCUGCUCGUGAGGAAUGAGCAGCACUUCUCUGGAGGCAGCCUGUGGCCAUGUACAGGGUGCCCCUGAUAUGGAAUGCUCUGUUUACACUGGAGCCAUGUUCUCCUGCCCCGCACAAGGAGUGAAGUGAGUCACAAAUGUUCAGCCAGGAGAUUGCCACAGUUUGUAUCCUGCGGGCAAAGGUGUGCUCUGCAAGAUUGCCUGCCUGCUGUUCACGGGAGCAAUGUGCAGCACUAAGGUGCAAUAAAGCUGAUAUAUUUACACCUGGUUUAUGAUCAAUGCUUAGAUCUCUGCUUUGUUCAAUCCACAGUCCUGUGUUUAACAUGAGCCUGAAAAGGUCAGAGUCCACCAAGCCCUUCCUUCAGGCUCGCCAGCAUUUAAAAAGCAACUUGUGGCUGUCAGGCAAGAAGAAAGAGAGGGCACCAGAGCACAUGGCCCCUCUGUGGGACUGUGCCCUUGCUGGCACAGAGCAGGCUGUUGGAGUAGAGGGGCUGGGGGCAGCUGUGUUAGAGCUGCACUGUGCCUUCUGAUGCUUCUCUGGCUGGUUUUCUGCACUUCCUUCAGCUGAAGAGCUGCUCUCCCCUCUGUGCAUAUGUUUGGGUGGGCUGAGCUGUUGCUGUUACAACCCCUGCUGCCAUUAGCAUACACAUUCCUUCUUGUUUGUCACAUUUAUAUCUUCCAAAGCAUUUCUGUGCGACUCCUAUGUCAUUGUGAAGAGAGUUUGUUUUAUGCACAAAUUCUAUAAGAUAUUUUGAUCCUCAAUAAGCAAGGCAGGAAUCCUUUUUCAUGGUUAGGCAUGAACUGCAGGUUGCCCCCUGUGCUCCAAAGUAAAGAAGUGAGUCGGAGUUAAGUGAAGUGACUAAAGCCUUUGAGAUUUAUGUUCAAGCACUCAUUCUCAUGAUAAGACAGGGCAGAGAACUUCUGCAACUCCUUAUGUUGCUUGAAAUGAAUAUUGUUUUCUAGAGAACUAGAUUAAAAAAUUCAGGCUUGAAGAUAUUUUAGUGUUUAAUUACCCAAGAAAAAAUGCCUUCGGGAGAUUAAAAAUACCCCCAAAGGAUGAUAAUUUUGAAUGCACAGUAAAUUUCUGAGAUUCAGCAGUUAGUUAAUUCUUACCAUGUGCUGCUUUUAUUUUGUGAGACUCUGAGAUCACGUGCCUGCAUAUUCUGUUCCCUCCUUCUCAGGGGAUUCCCACUGUUUAGACAAGCAGCUCAUGCUCAUUCAGGGGAAAAAUGAAUUCCACUGCUCCCAAAGAAAUGAACAAGGACGAUAGCAAGAGCUUUCCCUGAAGAAUUCUUCUGCUUUGGUUUUGCCCAGAGGGACAUCCUGCAACAUUUUAAGCUCAAUGCAGUAGUUAUUAAUGCAUAAAAUUACUGAAAUUUAGACUUGUGCAGAGGAGAGGAAGGAUAGAAAGGAGAAAGGAGGAUUUUGGUAUCAGCUGUAGAAAAAAUAGGAGAUGGUAGCAGUCUACUAGCACUGAGAGUCUGUCAUGAGAGCGGGAGUAAGGACAGAUUUAAUGGUCAUUGAUAUAUAGGGGAAAGAGGAGCUAUGUGGAAAACAGAAUAUUUCAAGCAAGACUAGUAGGCAAGAAAAAAAGGCAAAAAUAGUCUGAAGGAAAUAAAUAGUAAUGGUACCACUGGGAAAAGAGAUUUGGGGAAAUGGAAUGACUAUUGUAUGAGGUGAUUGGCUGUUCCAGUAGAAAACAAUGGCAAAAAAGGCAGAACAGAAUAUUUUUUCUAAUACUAUUUCUGUCAAGUAGUAGAGUCCUAUAUUGAGAUUGUUCUGAAACCCCCAAUUUAUCCUCCCCAUUAUUACACUCCUGAAGUUAUUUUCAUGAUUGUGUUUCUUCAAAUAAUUUCAUUGACUUUUAAAAAAAGUUAUUUUUUUAAGGCUCAUCUCUAAAAUGCUUUGGCAGUAAUGAUGUUUGGAUGAAGAUGCCAGAGCUUUACAGCCAGAAUCUCUUGCUUGUGCACUCUCAAUGAUCCCCAUAUGAUGUCAUCUUUCUAGAACAACUGUCAUCAAUAUUCUUUUUCUUAAGAGGUUAUGUCUGGACGUUAAUAGCAGUUUUGCUUGAAUAUUGAUUUAUCCCACUACCUUGUCAUCUAAGCAGAGUCUAACAGAAAGAAAUUCUGACUUUGUGUUGUCUGUUUAGCCAGCUUUUCUUGCCUUCUUUAUGAUUCUAACAGCAGUUGCAGUUAUUUUGCAGCAGUAAGCUCUGUAACUCACAGGACUCAUCAAGCAAAGAACUGAGUUUCUCAGUCUACAGGUUCAGGCUCUUAAAUGAAAUUCAUCAUCAGGUAGUGAGAAUUGUAGUUUGUUAGUAUCCUUGGCAGUAGGAUAUUCUGGCCACAGAAUUUAAAAACACAAAGUUAUGAUUUUAGCUGGGUGUGAUGAACCAACAAGGAAUGAAAGUGAAAAGAUAACUGUUGAUGAACUUACAUACAACAGAGAGAUUCACAAACAAUUUUGAGAAAAACUCAAAAAGAACAAGGUUGAACAUUGCAAGGAGGUGAAUUGAUCACUCUAGUACGGGUUAUAAAUGUAUUUUAAAGUUACUGUGAUUCUAAUGCACAUGUAGGCCAUCCUGGAUGUCCCAUUGCUCAGAUGUAGGAAAGCAUUUGGCUUUCAGCCUUUUGCCUCACAGCUUACCCAGGAUCUGUGGUAUUUUCUGUAACCACAUAUUUGAGUAUGUGGCAUUGGCUUUCUGCUGUAGCUGAGGUUUAGCUAAAAUUAGACUGUCUUCAGACUAGUAAACAUAAAUCUUAAUUCUCUUUGCUUGUCUGGUAUCUGUAUCACAAAAAAUCUUGUGCUGUAUAUGACCCACCCUCCAUCUUACCCUGUCCUUCCUUUAUAUUCUCCCCAUUUUCAUCUGUGAUCUUUCAGAUUUCCUCACCUGCUUUGAACAGUCCUUUUUCUUUGGUCUGCAGUGUGGGCUCUGGGCUGUUCCUUUUGCCAGUGGUACACACACCCUCGUGCUUACAUUCCUGCUGCACUGAUCUGUCCCUGAGUCCCAUUCAGAAAAGAGGAAUUCCAAGAGCUGUUGAGGCACACAAUGUCUUCUGAAAAUGAACCUGCAGCUUCCAAGAAAACUCCACCAAGCUACUUUCCAGACUGGAGUCUACAUGCUAUAAACAAAAUUUUGAAAAAUAUCAAAUUCUAGUUUCUAUCAAGUAUACAUGUCCAGUCUCAUAAAGUAGCCUGAUUUACAAAGCUGUCAUAAGAAAGGCCAGGGAUGCUUCUAAUGGCUUCAAGACUUUUGCCCUGAGGAUGAGAGGCUUCAGGAAUUAUUUUAACUCAUUUUUGUUAUCUUUGUUUUACACUAUUGAAAAUGGCAGGUCUGUUUUCACUUUCCGAAGGCAAACACACAACUUCAGGAAAAUUAUUUUCUCAGAUGCCUUCUGCCUCAUGCAUUAAUAUUGCAAAUCUGUAUAAUAGUAAAAUGGGGUUAUAAAGAGAAAUCUGGCCUUGACUGAAGGCAGUAAUAAUUACAUACUAGUUUUGUAGGUUUACAGGGACAUUGCUGAAGUCAUAUUAUAAAUUUUCUAGAACUGAGAUUUGUGAAAAGCUGUAUAAUGAAAAGAAGAUGGUGCUCAAUUUAAAUAAUUAUCUUAGGUGACAUAGCUGUGAGAUAGCAUGUAAAUCCUGAAUUAAAAUUGGUCUGUGCUGGGUAAUUUCAUUGUCUAAAAAGAUCUGACAGAUUAAGUUUAAAAGCUGUGAUUAAUGGUAUAUAUUAAAUUAGCUUUGAAACAUAUCCAUUUUGGUAGACUCUCUUUUGACAGCACAAAUCUUAAAAAAAAAAAAGGUGGCAUUUUUGCCCAAAACCCCCUUGUUUUAGUUUUUUCUUCAUGAAAAUAUCAUAAAAGUCUAAUACCUAAUUUUAAGCUAAUUUACUUUCUUUUAUUAUUUUUCAAAUAUCAAAGCAGAAAUGUUAUACUGGUGUAAAUAUCUAUUUGUGGACUAUGAAACUAUUCUGCAAGGCGUCCUCAAGAGCACAUCUGCUGUUCUCAGUCCAGUGGAUUCUCAGCUUGCUAAAGUAAGGGCAGCUCCUCACCUCUGCUGCUUUCCACAGCCCCACUGUCCCCAUCACUACUGACAGCUUGCCAGAGGAGCCCAGCCCGUGAUCCAUCCUGGAAGCAGCAGCACCAAACCUUCCCUGAGAUCCAUCCCAGCCAGAGCAGCUCCUUAGAUUCCGGGCUGACACCAGCCAGUGGACACAGUGAUUCAUGCUGCCUGAAGAUUAGUGCCUGAAAAGUCCUGCAUCUCUCUCCCUUGACUGUAAUAACCAGUUUGAACUUGGCAUUUAACUUUCCAUGGGCAAAGUGAAGUGUGGGGAGCCCUCCCUCCCUUUUAUGUUCCACAGUUGUGGAUAAUGGAUCUGAGCACUGGGAGAAAUGUGUGUGUGCCCUGUGCAGGCGGCCACAGGAAGUUGUGAGCUCUCUGCUAAGUAGAUUAGAGACUGUAACCACGUCCUGAAGUUUUAUAAACUUCUUACUCAGUUCUGCUCUGUGAAACAUUUCCACUUAGUCACUGGCUAUUCAGCACAAAUGAUUGAUCAGAAACAUUCCCCUAAUGUAAAUCAGUCUUAUCGUGUUUAAACACAAAUAUAACUUCUGCCAGCCAGGAUGUUAUGCAUACUGGGAGUGGGAGGGAUGCAAACAGCUGGGAGCAUUCCCUGUUUACUGAAUCCAUAUUGCCAUAGUGCUGCUUUGCACAGUUGGAGACUUGCUGUGCAGAAGGAGCAGUUCACAAAGAGUUUAAAAUUGCUUGGCUGUAAGAGCACAUGAUUUGCUUUUCAUUGCAUGCUUUGAUUUCAGUCCUCUGUUUGGGCUAAAAAUAAGAAGACAGAAAUAUUAAGUAUACUGGUAUUUUAUUUAUUCCACUAAUUUCACUACCAUCUUAUAGUAGAGAACACCUUCCCACCAAAUACUUGUUUCACAUUUCAGGGAGUUCUUUCAUGCUGCUGGGAGAUGCAUUUUCUGCCUUUGAAAGUACCAUAAAAGUACAGUGAACUGACUCAAGCUGACUCAUGGUUGGGGCAGAUGAAGCUUACAGCUCAGCUGAUUCUGGAUAGCAUUGCAGGUUAUUUAUACAACAUGCUUAAGGCUUUCCAGUGACUUGUUUGUUCUUCCUUAUUUAAAAUUUAAUUUUAUUCCAGGCAAGCCUUGGGAAUUUAUGUAACAAUUUUAUCUGCUGCACCUCAUCCUUUUACUGGGGGUAAACUGAAUACAAGUGGUGUAAUUUUUGUUUGAAGGCAUUUUUAUUUUCGUUUGGGAAAGGAUGGGACUGAAGUGAAAAUGAAGGCUGUCAUUCUUGUUGUCUGGACAUUUUUGCUUUAGUCAUACUCUCAGCCUUGACUUCUAAGUGCAAACAGGAACUUGAGUCACUUGUGGGAAAAGGUGCAGACUUGUUUGCGACACUUCACCUGCAGGAGAAGUUCUACAGACAGUGAGAGAAAAUAACACCCUGAAGGUCCUGGCAGAGUCUUCUGAAGAUAUAAACUGUGCAAUAGGGAAGGUGCCCACUUGCUGUGGAGGAUGUGAUGACAUUUGCUUACUUUGGAGCUGAUCAGGACUGCUCAUAGGCAGGUAUGUGGGUUGAAGGGUAAUUCCUAAGAAACUUAUACACCCCCAGACUAGUGGUUUUACCAUGAAAGUCCAGGACACCAACAAAGAACAUG